rnacentral:sRNA from 1 species
AAGACAGCAGCCGAGACAGCAGCUGAGACGGCAGCGGCAGCUUCUCAGGGCCGGAGCCAGUUCUUGGAGGAGAGUCUGCACAGGGCAUGGAUCACUGUGGUGCCCUUUUCCUGUGCCUGUGCCUUCUGACUUUGCAGAAUGCAACAGCAGAGACAUGGGAAGAACUCCUGCGCUACAUGGAGAAUAUGCAGGUGUCCAGGGGCCGGAGCUCAGUUUUUUCCUCUCGGUGAGUUGGAUGUGCCUCCCACCCCAAGCCUGCACCUUGAAUCAGUGGGUCAGGGUUAGUCUAAUGUAGACUCUUAACUGUGCAUUUUUUCAGCACUUUUAUUGAGCACCUACUGCAUGCCUGACACUAGGCUCUGGGGAUG